GGGAAAUGAUAUUUCAUUUCCCUUCCAACGCUGCCCCUCCCCCUCUCUCUAUCUUUGAAAUUUCUCAUCCAUACAAUCCCUGUCUCUCUCGGCGUCCGGCGUCACUCUCCUUUUUGGCAGUCCCCCCCUCUCUCUCUCAACUGCAUCAUUCGUAUAGUCCUUGUCCCUCUCGGCGUCCGGCGUCCUUCUCCAGUAGUCCCCCUCUUUCUCUCUCUCUCUCUGCAUCAUCCGUAGCUCAGUUGCCGGUAGUCCCCGUCCCUCUCGACGGUCAGCCUCCUCCGUCGUCCAGCGUCCCUCUCCGGCUAAAAAAAACAGGUUCUCUCUCUCUCUCUCUCUCAACGACAUCAUCCGUACAGUCCCCGUCCCUCUCGGCGUCCGGCAUCCCUCUCCGGCGGUCCCCCCCCCCUCUCUCUCUCUCUCUCUCUGCAUCGUCCGUAGCUCAGUCACCGAUAGCCCCCGUCCCUCUCGGCGGUCGGCCUCCUCCGUCGUCUGGCGUUCCUCUCCGGCUAAAAAAAACAGGCUCUCUCUCUCUCUGGCCGAAUCUAUUGCUACAAAUAAAAAACAAGUGGCCAAGGAAUGACAGAGUUGCUCUGUUUAUUGACCUCCCCAACCAUAGGGGCCAUUCUCCUGGAUUUGCUUGACUAGAAGCAGGGCUGAUUCUUAUCACCAAGUUCUAAAAUAUGCUUCAAGUGUGGAUUUUAAGAUCAAGCUGCUCACAGUCGGCGGGAAGAAAUUGAAGCUCACAAUUUGGGACACUGCUGGACAGGAGAGGUUCAGAACAUUAACAAGCUCUUAUUAUAGAGGUGCCCAGGGGAUCAUUCUUGGCUCUUGAGAAGUGUCAGCUUAAGGCAACAAUCAUCUGCCUGCCCAAUCUCUGCUAGACUCUUUUGGUUAGUUUAUGAUUUUCAUCUUGUCUUAAACUUGCCCAUUUCUCUUUUAAUAUAUAUGUGUGUGUUAAAGAAAUAGGGACAACAUUGUUGAAAUUGACUAUGCUUAACAGUGCCAGCAGCAAUUGUUUCAAAAAAUACCAUUCAAGGAAGUUCUAUAUUUUGUUUCAAAAAAUUAAACAAGUUGAUUUAUCAAAAACUCCUUAUUUGCCUAGAUAUUAUCUCUAGAAUAAUAUGGGUAAUUAAAGUAAUUGUCUGUGAAAUUAAAUUGUGAGAAAUAACUUUAAUAAUGACUCCCUUUUUUGGGGAUUUUGUCCUCUAUAUUAUGUUCCUAAUAGAUGCAUGUAGUGUGUGGACCUUUAUCUUUAUCAAUCAUCCUGCUUGUAUUAUAUGUAGCUCAUAGGAAUUCACUAAUAAAUGGAUAGUUGCCUUUCAAAUUUGUGCCAAAAUUAGGGAGUAAGGUGCCGAAAUUUAAAGUUUAAUGGAAGGAUUGCAAUAAAUGAGUAGUCGAAUGAAGCAUUCACAAUUCUUUUUAUGCACUAUUGAAAAGUUUACCCUAUUGGCAUGAUUAUUAUUAGGGGUAAUUACCUUUUCUCUCUAUGAACUACCAAAAAAUGCGCGAUGCCCCUAUGAACUACCAACUCGACCAAAAUAGAGCAUUCAACUACCAAAGAUAAUCAUUUUGCCCCAUUCUGUCAGUUAGAGUGGUUAAAAGAAACAGUUAACGGGUCAUGUGCUGUUUUACUUGGGGCAUGUUGGAAGAUAGUGGUAGUUCAUGGGGGGAAAGAGGAAGAUGGUGGUAGUUCACGGGGAGGAAAUAUGAAGAAAAUGAGGGUAAAACGGCGUGUGACGGUCACGUGACCCGUUGACCGUUUGUUUUAACCCCUUUAACUGACGGAAGGGGGAAAAAUUGUUGUCUUUGGUAGUUAAAUGCUCUAUUUUGAUCGAAUUGGUAGUUCAUGGGGGCAUCGCGCAUUUUUUGGUAGUUCAUGGGGGGAAAAGGUAAUUACCCAUUAUUAUUAUUAUUAUUAUUUUGCGUAGGCCCAAAAAAAUGUCGGUAAAUAGUGAUGCGUCAAUACCUCCUCCAUUAUGUUACUGUGGAGAGCGUGCACGUCUAAGGUACUCAUGGACUAGUGACAACCCCGGAAGAAAGUGAUAUGGCUGUAUAAAGUAUAAGGAAGUUGAUGACUGUGAUUUUUUUAAGUGGGCUAAUAACCAAAUGACUUCUUAUGCGAAGAGAUUGGAGGAACAUAUGAGAGAUAUGGAGGAAGGUAGACGGGCCAAUAUUGAUAAAGUUGAGAAGAUGACAAUGACCAAUAUUAACAGCCUUGAGAAACUGAUUGAAACAAAACACAAGGAGCAAUAUGCUAGACUUCAAUAAGAGUUAGGUCUGGGUCAAAGUAAUAGAAAGAUGUUUUGGGCAGCAGUAGUCGUAAUCAUUUUGGGCCUCGUAAUUUAUCUCAGUGGUUAUAGUGGUUCUAAAGUUAGCUACUUGAUGUUAGAAUGAAAUGAUGGAAACAUUAUUAGGUUAAAAAUGGUAAUUGUCAGAUAUUUUACGUUCUUAUUAGUUGAACAAUAGAAAUUCUGAAUUUAAUUUUUAAUGGAAGUUGCUCUAUAAAAUCAGUACUUGAUUAGUCAAA